rnacentral:rRNA from 1 species
GACGAACGCUGGCGGCGUGCCUAACACAUGCAAGUCGAACGCGGUUACCCCGCAAGGGGUAACUGAGUGGCGAACGGGUGAGUAACACGUGGGUGACCUACCUUCGAAUGGGGGAUAACGUCCCGAAAGGGACGCUAAUACCGCAUAGCAUCCCGUCCUUGAACGGAUGGAGAUCAAAGCCGGGGAUCGCAAGACCUGGCGUUUGAAGAGGGGCCCGCGUCCGAUUAGCUAGUUGGUGAGGUAACGCNCACCAAGGCGACGAUCGGUAACCGGCCUGAGAGGGCGGACGGUCACACUGGGACUGAGACACGGCCCAGACUCCUACGGGAGGCAGCAGUGGGGAAUUGUUCACAAUGGGCGCAAGCCUGAUGACGCAACGCCGCGUGGAGGAUGAAGGUCUUCGGAUUGUAAACUCCUGUU